UACAGGGGUCCCAAGCGUUGUUCGGAUUCACUGGGCGUAAAGGGUGCGUAGGCGGUCGGGUAAGUCUGACGUGAAAUCUUCAAGCUCAACUUGGAAACUGCGUCCGAUACUAUUCGGCUAGAGGAAUGGAGGGGAGACUGGAAUACUUGGUGUAGCAGUGAAAUGCGUAGAUAUCAAGUGGAACACCAGUGGCGAAGGCGAGUCUCUGGACAUUUCCUGACGCUGAGGCACGAAAGCCAGGGGAGCAAACGGG
rnacentral:rRNA from 1 species